GUCAACUAUACCACUCAUGACCUGGAGUUAGGAGCCGUAGUCUUUGCACUGAAGAUUUGGAGACAUUAUCUUUAUGGAACCAAGUGNCCACUCAUGACCUGGAGUUAGGAGCCGUAGUCUUUGCACUGAAGAUUUGGAGACACUAUCUUUAUGGAACCAAGUGUACGAUCUUCACUGACCAUAAGAGCCUACAACACAUCUUCAAUCAGAAGGACUUAACCAUGAGGCAACGGAGAUGGGUAGAACUACUCAAUGAUUAUGAGUGCGAGAUCCGCUACCAUCCCGGCAAGGCCAAUGUGGUGGCAGAUGCCCUUAGCUGAAAGGAAAGUUCGAGUCGUAAAGUGAAGCCCCUGACGAUGACUAUCCAUUCCCAUUUAUCCAUGCAAAUCCGAGAAGCCCAAUUAGAAGCCCUAAAACCAGAGAACGUGUCAG
rnacentral:lncRNA from 1 species